AGUGAUAUGUCUGAUUAAAAGUAAUAAACUGUAAAUUUAUCCAUAAAUAUAUUAAAUAUUAUAUUUUAUCACUA
rnacentral:tRNA from 1 species